rnacentral:rRNA from 1 species
CAGCCGCCGCGGGAAUACGUAGGUGGCAAGCGUUGUCCGGAAUUACUGGGCGUAAAGCGUGCGCAGGCGGUUUUGUAAGACAGGCGAGAAAUCCCCGGGCUCAACCUGGGAAUGGCGCUUGUGACUGCAAAGCUAGAGUGCGGCAGAGGGGGAUGGAAUUCCGCGUGUAGCAGUGAAAUGCGUAGAUAUGCGGAGGAACACCGAUGGCGAAGGCAAUCCCCUGGGCCUGCACUGACGCUCAGCACGAAAGCGUGGGGAGCAAACAGGAUUAGAUACCGCGUAGUCCCUGUCUCUUAUACAC